rnacentral:rRNA from 1 species
GACGAACGCUGGCGGCGUGCUUAACACAUGCAAGUCGAACGGAAAGGCCCUGCUUUUGUGGGGUGCUCGAGUGGCGAACGGGUGAGUAACACGUGAGUAACCUGCCCUUGACUUUGGGAUAACUUCAGGAAACUGGGGCUAAUACCGGAUAGGAGCUCCUGCUGCAUGGUGGGGGUUGGAAAGUUUCGGCGGUUGGGGAUGGACUCGCGGCUUAUCAGCUUGUUGGUGGGGUAGUGGCUUACCAAGGCUUUGACGGGUAGCCGGCCUGAGAGGGUGACCGGCCACAUUGGGACUGAGAUACGGCCCAGACUCCUACGGGAGGCAGCAGUGGGGAAUAUUGCACAAUGGGCGGAAGCCUGAUGCAGCAACGCCGCGUGCGGGAUGACGGCCUUCGGGUUGUAAACCGCUUUCGCCUGUGACGAAGCGUGAGUGACGGUAAUGGGUAAAGAAGCACCGGCUAACUACGUGCCAGCAGCCGCGGUGAUACGUAGGGUGCGAGCGUUGUCCGGAUUUAUUGGGCGUAAAGGGCUCGUAGGUGGUUGAUCGCGUCGGAAGUGUAAUCUCGGGGCUUAACCCUGAGCGUGCUUUCGAUACGGGUUGACUUGAGGAAGGUAGGGGAGAAUGGAAUUCCUGGUGGAGCGGUGGAAUGCGCAGAUAUCAGGAGGAACACCAGUGGCGAAGGCGGUUCUCUGGGCCUUUCCUGACGCUGAGGAGCGAAAGCGUGGGGAGCGAACAGGCUUAGAUACCCUGGUAGUCCACGCUGUAAACGGUGGGUACUAGGUGUGGGGUCCAUUCCACGGGUUCCGUGCCGUAGCUAACGCUUUAAGUACCCCGCCUGGGGAGUACGGCCGCAAGGCUAAAACUCAAAGGAAUUGACGGGGCCCCGCACAAGCGGCGGAGCAUGCGGAUUAAUUCGAUGCAACGCGUAGAACCUUACCUGGGUUUGACAUGGAUCGGGAGUGCUCAGAGAUGGGUGUGCCUCUUUUGGGGUCGGUUCACAGGUGGUGCAUGGCUGUCGUCAGCUCGUGUCGUGAGAUGUUGGGUUAAGUCCCGCAACGAGCGCAACCCUUGUUCACUGUUGCCAGCACGUUAUGGUGGGGACUCAGUGGAGACCGCCGGGGUCAACUCGGAGGAAGGUGGGGAUGACGUCAAGUCAUCAUGCCCCUUAUGUCCAGGGCUUCACGCAUGCUACAAUGGCUGGUACAGAGAGUGGCGAGCCUGUGAGGGUGAGCGAAUCUCGGAAAGCCGGUCUCAGUUCGGAUUGGGGUCUGCAACUCGACCUCAUGAAGUCCGAGUCGCUAGUAAUCGCAGAUCAGCAACGCUGCGGUGAAUACGUUCCCGGG